AUUGAACGCUGGCGGCAUGCUUUACACAUGCAAGUCGAACGGCAGCGCGAGGCAACCUGGCGGCGAGUGGCGAACGGGUGAGUAAUAUAUCGGAACGUACCCAGAAGUGGGGGAUAACGUAGCGAAAGUUACGCUAAUACCGCAUACGAUCUACGGAUGAAAGUAGGGGACCGCAAGGCCUUAUGCUUUUGGAGCGGCCGAUAUCUGAUUAGCUAGUUGGUGAGGUAAAGGCUCACCAAGGCGACGAUCAGUAGCUGGUCUGAGAGGACGACCAGCCACACUGGAACUGAGACACGGUCCAGACUCCUACGGGAGGCAGCAGUGGGGAAUUUUGGACAAUGGGCGCAAGCCUGAUCCAGCAAUGCCGCGUGAGUGAAGAAGGCCUUCGGGUUGUAAAGCUCUUUUGUCAGGGAAGAAACGGUAGAGGCUAAUAUCCUUUGCUAAUGACGGUACCUGAAGAAUAAGCACCGGCUAACUACGUG
rnacentral:rRNA from 1 species